CAAAGUCUAGAAAGGCAACAAGAGAAGCCUGCAGGGCCUCAGCUGUGCUGUGAUUCCAGGACACAGAGCUCUGAGGCAUCUUAAUCAUGGCCUGGGCCCCUCUCCUUUUGCCUCUUCUCUCUAUAUAUGCAGGUUCUGUGACCUCCUAUGAGCUGACCCAGCCACCUUCAGCAUCAGUCACUGUGGGAGAGACUGUCAAAAUCACUUGCUUAGGGGAUGAAUUGCCAAAGAAGUAUGCUGCUUGGAUUCAGCAAAAGCCCACUGAACGCAUCGUGAGUGUAAUAUAUAAAGAUAGUGAGAGACCCUCGGGGAUCCCAGACCGAUUCUCUGGGUCCAGUUCAGGGACAACAGCCACUCUGACCAUCACCGGAGCCUUGCCUGAGGAUGAGGCUAGCUAUUUCUGUUUGUCAUCAUAUGGUGAUGAUGAUAUUCACAUUGAUUUACACAGAUGGGGAAGUGACUCAAAAACCCUUUCUCUAUAACUUACAUCAUCUUCCUACAGCAAAAGGAAGAACAAAGACAAACCUAUGAACAUGCCUAGGCCUAGUUCACUUUCAUUUGACCUUUCAACCAUGUCUUUUCUUUCUAGUCCUCCAGAAGACUCUAUAGUGACUGGAUUGGAUAGGUUUAGAUAGAGAUAUACUGCACAAAUGUUUUUUUUGGUAAAAUGUGAUUGGGAAAAGGGGACAUAAAGAUGAGUAACACAUCAAGGCAAGAUUCAUGUCUCCAUAUAUCCUUACUGUGAAGUGUGACCCUCCAUUUGACAGAGACUGUGGGUUAAUUCCUUCAAUUACUCAACUAGUCAUUGCUUCUGAAGUCAUAAUAUUUUACAACAAUACCAUAUAUUGAACAUGGUAAUUCAGAAAAAGGGCUAUAAAGGGAUCCCCAUCAAAUCAGAAACAUCCACCAAAGCAUUGUUUCUGUCAUCUGAUAGAGGUGCUUUCAGUGGAAUGUGCAAUUGU